rnacentral:misc_RNA from 1 species
GAUGAAGAACGCAGCGAAAUGCGAUAAGUAAUGUGAAUUGCAGAAUUCAGUGAAUCAUCGAAUCUUUGAACGCACAUUGCGCCCGCCAGUAUUCUGGCGGGCAUGCCUGUUCGAGCGUCAUUUCAACCAUCAAGCCCCAGGCUUGUGUUGGGGACCUGCGGCUGCCGCAGGCCCUGAAAACCAGUGGCGGGCUCGCUGUCACACCGGGCGUAGUAGAUUUUAUCUCGCUCAGGGCGUGCUGCGGGUUCCGGCCGUUAAACCACCUUCAUAACCCAAGGUUGACCUCGGAUCAGGUAGGAAGACCCGCUGAACUUAAGCAUAUCAAUAAGCGGAGGA